rnacentral:rRNA from 1 species
UACGAAGGUGGCUAGCAAGGUUCGUAUUUACUGGGCGUAAAGGGCGCGUAGGCGGAUUUUUAAUUCGGGGGUGAAAUCCCGGAGCUCAACUCCGGAACUGCCUUCGAUACUGAAAGUCUGGAGCACGGUAGAGGUGAGUGGAAUUCCGAGUGUAGAGGUGAAAUUCGUAGAUAUUCGGAGGAACACCAGUGGCGAAGGCGGCUCACUGGACCGUUGCUGACGCUGAGGCGCGAAAGCGUGGGGAGCAAACAGG